AUUGAACGCUGGCGGCAGGCCUAACACAUGCAAGUCGAACGGUAACAGGAAACAGCUUGCUGUUUCGCUGACGAGUGGCGGACGGGUGAGUAAUGUCUGGGAAACUGCCUGAUGGCGGGGGAUAACUACUGGAAACGGUAGCUAAUACCGCAUAACGUCGCAAGACCAAAGAGGGGGACCUUCGGGCCUCUUGCCCUCGGAUGUGCCCAGAUGGGAUUAGCUUGUUGGUGGGGUAACGGCUCACCAAGGCGACGAUCCCUAGCUGGUCUGAGAGGAUGAUCAGCCACACUGGAACUGAGACACGGUCCAGACUCCUACGGGAGGCAGCAGUGGGGAAUAUUGCACAAUGGGCGCAAGCCUGAUGCAGCCAUGCCGCGUGUAUGAAGAAGGCCUUCGGGUUGUAAAGUACUUUCAGCGGGGAGGAAGGGAGUCAAGUUAAUACCUUUGCUUAUUGACGUUACCCGCAGAAGAAGCACCGGCUAACUCCGUG
rnacentral:rRNA from 1 species